GGAACAGAUUGCGAUUGAUUCACACCUUUGGAAGAAUGCAGAUGGAGAAGGGGGGAACAACCUUGGAGGAGGGAUUGGGCGGCGGAGGUGUGGUGACGCAAAGGGGAAAGCUGUGCCGCCGAUGCAAGGAGACCUUCAACUCUUCCUCCAACACGCCCUCCUCCUGUCGGUUUCACCCUUCCUUCUUCGUCUGCCGCAGGCACGACGACCAGAAGAGGUACUACGAACUCCGUCCAGAUGAUCCACCAUAUGCUGCCAAAUUCUACGACUGCUGCGGAGCAGAGGACCCAGAGGCAUUGGGCUGCACCACCGAUUUCCAUGUUUCCUAUGACGACUGAUCUCUCUGCGAGCAAUCUACCCUAUGGCAAGUUUGAUGUUUGCCGAGCUUCCUUCUAUAAGAUAUGGUGAACUCAGUCUGAGAUGGGAAAGCGUUCUACACAUCCACAAGAAGAUUAUCAAGAAAUAUCAACCAUGUUGCAGCAUGAGAUGCACAACUCGGCGAACUGUGUCGCGCCUGCGCCCUUUAUUCUAAAAGCUUCAUCCGUCCCAUGUAUUCCGACCUCGGCGGUUGCAUUUCUUUCGUAUCGAUUCCUGCACGAGGAGCUUGAGCAGAGGCUUCUGACCGCAGGCCUUCCUUGGUGUAGACACUGCAGUGUCCAUUAGCUCCGUUCCACCGCGAGCAGGGAGCAGCUACUUCGCAGACAUAACAGAAACACUGCACCCAGAAGACAGACUGGGAAUGGUGGCCGUGAAUUGAGAUGGGGAAGCGUUGUAGUGUCGGUUCCAAGUGUACCUUGUUACAGUAGCUCUCAUGAGCGGUGCAGUUGAAGGGGAAGGUUGCACAGA